GAUGAACGCUAGCGGCAGGCUUAACACAUGCAAGUCGAGGGGCAGCGUGAUGAAGUAGCAAUACGGAUUUGACGGCGACCGGCGCACGGGUGCGUAACGCGUAUGUAACCUACCUUUAACAGGGGGAUAACACUGAGAAAUUGGUACUAAUACCCCAUAACACUUUGGGAGGCAUCUCCUGAGGUUGAAAGUUCCGGCGGUUAGAGAUGGACAUGCGUUGUAUUAGCUAGAUGGUGAGGUAACGGCUCACCAUGGCGACGAUACAUAGGGGGACUGAGAGGUUAACCCCCCACACUGGUACUGAGACACGGACCAGACUCCUACGGGAGGCAGCAGUGAGGAAUAUUGGUCAAUGGACGCAAGUCUGAACCAGCCAUGCCGCGUGCAGGAAGACGGCUCUAUGAGUUGUAAACUGCUUUUGUACAAGGGUAAACCUCGGUACGUGUACCGAGCUGAAAGUACUGUACGAAUAAGGAUCGGCUAACUCCGUGCCAGCCGCUGCGGUAACAC
rnacentral:rRNA from 1 species